rnacentral:lncRNA from 1 species
CGGAAUGUUGUCCUAGGAAGGGCUCAAGUGCAGGUGGGAGGCCAGAGUGCGUGCAGCUGCACUCAGGAGACUCGCCCGUCACCAGGCGCUUCUCACAGCCCCUUCCUCUCCUGAGAUCCUGCCCAUGGCACUGUGGUCUGGAGGCUGGGCUGGUGACCUCUCGCACUCUUGCUCUGCCUAGGAUGGGGCGGUCCUGCCUCAGUGGCUCUGCUCCAACUGUCAGGCGCCCUACGACUCCUCUGCCAUCGAGAUGACGCUGGUGGAAGUUCUACAGAAGAAGCUGAUGGCCUUCACCCUGCAGGACCUGGUGAGUCGUGCAUGCCGCCUGCCCGUGUGCCCUGGAGUCCACAGGGGGGUUUCUGUGCACUCCCGGGAGCCGGGGUGUGUGCAGGUCCUGAGGCACGCCCUGGUGUCUUCCAAGGGGCCUGCCCUGCAGACCAGUCCAUGCCCUGAGCCUGAUGGACUGUUCUGUCCACACUGGUUGAGCACCUGCCUUGGGUCAAGAGCUGGCCUUGUGGGUGCUUCGUUCUAGCGGAAGGAGGCAGACACUCCCAAGUGUGAAGAGAAGGAAAGGAGGAAGAGGGAGUUGCACAGCUCGGCCACAGGAAGGUCUUGCCGAGGGGCAUCUGAGCAGAGGCUGGGGGACGCGCCAAGCUGCCGUGUGGUGGUGCACGGCGUUCAGGCCUGCAGGAUGGAGGGAGUGAGCAGGGCCUGGAGGAGGCCUCAGGACUGGGCAUCUGGGGUGGAACAUCCACAGCGAGGGUGGGUGUAGGGAAGGCGCUGGCACCGUGGGAUGAGGUCGUGCAUUUUACUCAUAACCGAGGGCUGGCUGCACACAGCAGGGGCUCGAGGCUUACUGAUGGGCCCACGAAUGUGUCUCGCGAGCCUGUGAAGAAGCAGCAGGCAGGUCUGGCCAGCGCGGGAGGGCUGGCGCCCAUCGGGGCUGCUCCCUUUCAGGUCUGCCUGAAGUGCCGCGGGGUGAAGGAGACCAGCAUGCCUGUGUACUGCAGCUGCGCGGGAGACUUCGCCCUCACCAUCCACACCCAGGUCUUCAUGGAACAGAUCGGAAUAUUCCGGAACAUUGCCCAGCACUACGGCAUGUCGUACCUCCUGGAGACCCUGGAGUGGCUGCUGCAGAAGAACCCACAGCUGGGCCAUUAGCCAGCCCCGGGCCCCGGGUGCCUCUGCGUCCGUGCCAGGCCUCCUGAUGCCAAGGCCACAUCCCCGUGCUUCCAGUGACCAGACCACUGACCACCCUGACUGUCCAAACCUGUGACCCCAGGCCAGGGAACGGGGAGGAAACCAAAGAAAACCAUUUUCAGGGAGCUCAGACGUCACAGGAGGGAGCGGGAGCAGGAUGUGGCCCUGGCCUCGCCAGAGCACCUGAAGAAGCAGGCCGUGAGCGAGGCUGCGAGUGCCCUGGGCGCCGUUUCUCACGCAGUGAAUGCUUUUCCAGGCCUCUGUUGCUUCCUGCACCACACCUGGUGGGGUGGGAGCGUCCUCUAGGUGCCCCUAGUUCUUUGUCCUGCCUCCCAGAGGGAGGAAAAGCCCCUGGGGGCUUCUGGCUCCCUGAGAUUGGGCUCUGAGACGAGACGGGUUCCCAAGGCCCUGGUGGGGCUGGAGUCUCACCUGUUUGCAUGGAGAAAUGGGCUGGCCCCACAGCCUCACAGGAGCAGUUUGUGGGCUGGUUUCCCCAGGAAUCCAGACCCUAACCCGUGAGAAUCUGGAUUUUGGCUUGUGAGCCCUGCUUAUUUGGAGCCGGGUCUAGAGGGAACCCUCUAUCAGCCUCAGGAAAACAAGACCUCUGUGCACCUCACUUUUGGCUCACUGCAGCCCUUGUCCUUCACCUCCACACAGGACCAGCUGGAAGCAGAAAGAAGAAAGGCCAAUUUCACAGGGCACCAAACAAGUAUGAAAUGUAAAUCAGAAAUGCAGACACCCCAGACGAGAGCCUCACAGGAGGGAGGGGGCCCCACAGGCUCCCCAGGAGGCUCGUGUCUUUGGCCCAGAGCCAGCCUUAGUUUGUCCCUGCCAUCUACUGUCUGAGGCCAUCGCUGCUACACUUUGUUUUUAUUUGUAUUUCAUACUGAAGUUUC